rnacentral:misc_RNA from 1 species
GGCGUAAGGAUUACCUAUGCC